CACACACACACACACACACACUCACACAAACAACAGCACCAACAAUAUGAGCCUCAGGUUCAAAGUAUACUCCUUGAAAACACUCCAUAGUAGAUAUACAGCUUGAGUAGGACUUGUAAUCAGCUGAGUGGACCUCCAUCACAGCAGUGUUCACAUCACUUGUUCUUCAGAGUUGUACAGAGGCUGAACAGGGCUGCAUCUCUUUGUCAGAGCGAGGUGAAGAGACCUUCUGAGGAGUGUGUGUCUGCUGGCUGCAGCUGAUCCAGAGCAGGAGACCUGUCCUCCCUCCCAGCCUGUCUUCUGUCAGAGCCAGAGGGCUGCAGCUGCUCUCUUGUGUCCUGUCAGUGGGUGGAGCUCAGCUGUCUGUCUCUUCUCCACCAGACUCCACAGACAGAGCGACCACACACAGACUGACCUCCAUCUUCUGUCCUUCAAACAGGACAAAAGUUCACGUGUCCUCCAGUGGUGUCAUUGUGUCUGUCCUGCUGUCUGCUGCAGCAGAUCAGGAGACUUUAAAACAGGAUCCAUCACAGCUGUUUGUUCAGAUUGGACUGAAUCUGUUCAGAAGUCUCACUGAUUAUUACAUUUAUUUAACACCUCCAGGUGUGAAGAUCAUCAUCAUGAAUCAAAGUGAUUCAUCUUUUCUUUUCAUUUUCUUUUAUUGCUGUUCUUUAUAUAAAUGGGCUUUGUGCCGUUGGACUUUUGAUGAUUUGCCUUUUAGAUUUAAUUGGUGCAAUUCUGGAGAACGAGUGAUCAUUUCUAGGCUUUUAUUGAUAAACAGUGUUUUGUCAUCUUUAUCUCAACGUUUCCUCUCUUUUCUUCUUUUCUUCUACCACCUGCUCCUCUGUUCAGUCUUCCUCACCUCUCACUGAACAGUCUGACUGACAUCAGCUGCAUUGAAUCCCAUGAAAAGAUCAGUCACAAGUUUGUUCCUUUUUAUUCAGUCUACAUGUGAUAUUUGAGAACAAGAAAGGUUCCGUCUUCACAGCAACUCUGCCACGUUCAUGAGCCGUCAUCAGACUCACACGUCCACUUCAUCUCUGUCCUGUGAUAUAUAAGGAACAAUAGAAGAAGCUCUCCACAGCUCACUGUAGUCUUUAGCUCUGCUGGUUAAACUACAGCAACAUCACAUUGAUAUUGUUGAAUGAAUUAUGAUAAAUUACCACUGAU